GACAGAGGGUGCAAACGUUGCUCGGAAUUACUGGGCGUAAAGGGCGUGUAGGCGGGAAGGCAAGUCGGGCGUGAAAUCCCCAGGCUCAACCUGGGAACUGCACUCGAAACUGCCUUUCUUGAGUACCGGAGAGGAAAGCGGAAUUCCUGGUGUAGAGGUGAAAUUCGUAGAUAUCAGGAGGAACACCAGUGGCGAAGGCGGCUUUCUGGACGGUAACUGACGCUGAGACGCGAAAGCGUGGGGAGCAAACAGG
rnacentral:rRNA from 1 species